CCCAGACUCCUACGGGAGGCAGCAGUGAGGAAUAUUGGUCAAUGGGCGGGAGCCUGAACCAGCCAAGCCGCGUGAGGGAAGAAGGUACAGCGUAUCGUAAACCUCUUUUGUCAGGGAACAAAGGCGGGGACUAGUCCCCGGAUGAGGGUACCUGAAGAAAAAGCAUCGGCUAACUCCGUGCCAGCAGCCGCGGUAAUACGGAGGAUGCGAGCGUUAUCCGGAUUUAUUGGGUUUAAAGGGUGCGUAGGCGGGACCUUAAGUCAGCGGUAAAAUUGCGGUGCUCAACGCCGUAGAGCCGUUGAAACUGGGGUUCUUGAGUGAGCGAGAAGUAUGCGGAAUGCGUGGUGUAGCGGUGAAAUGCAUAGAUAUCACGCAGAACCCCGAUUGCGAAGGCAGCGCACCGGCGCCCUACUGACGCUCAGGCACGAAAGCGUGGGUAUCGAACAGGAUUAGAUACCCCCGUAG
rnacentral:rRNA from 1 species